rnacentral:rRNA from 1 species
AUCCUGGCUUAGGACGAACGCUGGCGGCGUGCCUAAUACAUGCAAGUCGAACGGCUUUUCUAUGGAAGCUUGCUUCCACUGAGAAGAUAGUGGCGAACGGGUGAGUAACACGUGGGUAACCUGCCCAUAAGAGGGGGGAUAACAUCCGGAAACGGGUGCUAAUACCGCAUAGUUUUCUUGAUCGCAUGAUCGGGAAAGGAAAGACGGCCUUUGUGCUGUCGCUUAUGGAUGGACCCGCGGCGUAUUAGUUAGUUGGUGAGGUAACGGCUCACCAAGACGAUGAUACGUAGCCGACCUGAGAGGGUGAUCGGCCACAUUGGGACUGAGACACGGCCCAAACUCCUACGGGAGGCAGCAGUAGGGAAUCUUCCGCAAUGGACGAAAGUCUGACGGAGCAACGCCGCGUGAGUGAAGAAAAGGUUUUCGGAUCGUAAAACUCUGUUGCCAGAGAAGAACAAGUUGGAGAGUAACUGCUCCAGCCUUGACGGUAUCUGACCAGAAAGCCACGGCUAACUACGUGCCAGCCGCUGC